rnacentral:rRNA from 1 species
CCGCGUGUGUGAAGAAGGCCUGCGGGUUGUAAAGCACUUUCAGUAGCCAAGAUGGGAUUAUUCAUUANUACUGGAUAGUCUUGACAUUAACUACANAANAAGCACCGGCUAACUCCGNGCCAGCAGCCGCGGUAAU